rnacentral:sRNA from 1 species
AAGGCCUUGACCAGAUACCAGAUUUUAUUUCGGCAUUUGUUUUAUUGCAAACAUGUAGAGCGACAGUUGUGCAAUGUAUGGAUCGGAAACAAACAGAUGAAACUUUACUCGCCAGCCAGUUCCCGUUUUUACACCGCUGCCUUUGCACUCCGGCAGCGAAUGUUGAAUUUUGUACAGAAUUUUGAAUAUUACAUGAUGUUUGAGGUGAUAGAGCCCAACUGGCAUACCUUUCAACAGAACAUGGCUAAAGUGACCAAUGUGGAUGAUGUCUUGGCCUACCAUACAGAUUUCCAGGAG